rnacentral:rRNA from 1 species
UACGUAGGGUGCAAGCGUUGUCCGGAAUUAUUGGGCGUAAAGAGCUCGUAGGCGGUCUGUCGCGUCGGCUGUGAAAACUCGGGGCUCAACCCCGAGCCUGCAGUCGAUACGGGCAGACUAGAGGUAGGUAGGGGAGAAUGGAAUUCCCGGUGUAGCGGUGAAAUGCGCAGAUAUCGGGAGGAACACCGGUGGCGAAGGCGGUUCUCUGGGCCUUACCUGACGCUGAGGAGCGAAAGCGUGGGGAGCGAACAGG